rnacentral:rRNA from 1 species
GACGAACGCUGGCGGCGUGCUUAACACAUGCAAGUCGAACGGAAAGGCCCUGCUUUUGUGGGGUGCUCGAGUGGCGAACGGGUGAGUAACACGUGAGUAACCUGCCCUUGACUUUGGGAUAACUUCAGGAAACUGGGGCUAAUACCGGAUAGGAGCUCCUGCUGCAUGGUGGGGGUUGGAAAGUUUCGGCGGUUGGGGAUGGACUCGCGGCUUAUCAGCUUGUUGGUGGGGUAGUGGCUUACCAAGGCUUUGACGGGUAGCCGGCCUGAGAGGGUGACCGGCCACAUUGGGACUGAGAUACGGCCCAGGCGCCUACGGGGGGCAGCAGUGGGGAAUAUUGCACAAUGGGCGGAAGCCUGAUGCAGCAACGCCGCGUGCGGGAGGACGGCCUUCGGGUUGUAAACCGCUUUGGCCUGUGACGAAGCGUGAGUGACGGUAAUGGGGAAAGAAGCACCGGCUAACUACGU